AAUUUAAUCAAAUAUAUUUAAAAAAUUAGAAGCAGAAAGAAGAAUUAGAUUUUGAAGAUAAUCUGUCCUGAUUAGUUAGCGUUUAGACAGUUCUCAGUGUUGCAGCCAGUUCCGGAUGAAAAAAAAAUUUUUCUCAGAGCAAAAUUCGAUAAAAUAAGAGAACCAUCAUUAACAGCAAAGAAGGUGCCAAAUGACUCCAGGAAACAUCACAUGCCAGGGAGUUUACUCAACAGCGCUAAUAGAUACAUUGCUGCUGAAGAAAGUUACCAGAUUAAAAUCCUCACACUCUUCUUACUGAAAGGCUUGGAAUGUGGUUACUCAUCAUUGUAAUCUUUUUUAUCCCGGAUUCACUCCACAGCGUUGCCUGAAUGAUCACGAUUGUCUUCACAUCUUCUCAAAAUCAUAAUCUUUGGAUACCGUGACAGUACUAAAGCCCGUAGGUAUUUUCCAGAGCACGAAUUCUGCAAGACUGUGUGAGUAUCUCCUUUUUGAAUUUAUUUAUCAAUGCUUUUCAUGGUAA